rnacentral:piRNA from 1 species
UGAGAAAGAGGGCCAAGAGUGCAGUCAUCGG